AGAGUUUGAUCAUGGCUCAGAAUCAACGCUGGCGGCGUGCCUAACACAUGCAAGUCGAACGCGAAAGUCCCGCAAGGGAUGAGUAGAGUGGCAAACGGGUGAGUAACACGUGGGUGACCUGCCUUCGAGCGGGGGAUAACGUCCCGAAAGGGACGCUAAUACCGCAUAACAUCCUGCCUUUGAAGAGGCGGUGAUCAAAGCUGGGGAUCGCAAGACCUAGCACUUGAAGAGGGGCCCGCGUCCGAUUAGCUAGUUGGUGGGGUAAUAGCCCACCAAGGCAACGAUCGGUAGCCGGCCUGAGAGGGCGGACGGCCACACUGGGACUGAGACACGGCCCAGACUCCUACGGGAGGCAGCAGUGGGGAAUUGUUCGCAAUGGGCGCAAGCCUGACGACGCAACGCCGCGUGGAGGAUGAAGAUCUUCGGGUCGUAAACUCCUUUCGAUCGAGACGAAUUCCUCUGGGGUGAACAAUCCCGGAGGUUGACGGUACCGAGAGAAGAAGCCCCGGCUAACUCCGUGCCAGCAGCCGCGGUA
rnacentral:rRNA from 1 species